UACGUAGGGGGCAAGCGUUGUCCGGAAUCAUUGGGCGUAAAGAGCGUGUAGGCGGCUUGGUAAGUCCGCUGUGAAAGUCCAGGGCUCAACCCUGGAAUGCCGGUGGAAACUGUCAAGCUUGAGUCCGGAAGAGGCGAGUGGAAUUCCUGGUGUAGAGGUGAAAUUCGUAGAUAUUGGGAAGAACACCAGUGGCGAAGGCGGCUAUCUGGACCGGAACUGACGCUGAGGCGCGAAAGCGUGGGGAGCAAACAGG
rnacentral:rRNA from 1 species